ACACAAGGUGGGAUGGGAGGUGGAUGGGUCCAACAAACACAAGGUUUUCAUCCAGGAGACCGCUGUUCGUUGCCCAUGCGUUAUGUUUCCCUUUCACGUUACAAUCAGCUGUUCGUUCGUUUCCCGCGUUCACAACGUAGAGUUUCAUUUUCACUUUAAAAACGUAGUAGCUUUAAGCCCAAACCAACCUUUCCUAAACCUAACUAUAGUGGUUUGAUGUAUAAUCCCAAAGUGACACCAAGGGUAACUGUAGUGGUUUUCAUGCCAGAAAUAAAGCGAUGACAAAGCGUGUUCAUAUUUCAUGGUUGAGUAGAGUGAGAUUCAGACGGACAGAUUGAAUCAAUUUUGCAACAUUAGCUAUAAGAUUUAUGAGAUUCAUGUAACAUAAUCUAUGGUAAUCUUAGCCAGUUCUAGUUUAUAGUGUAUUCAUUGAUAAAUCCAUGC